UACGUAGGGGGCAAGCGUUGUCCGGAUUUAUUGGGCGUAAAGAGCGUGUAGGCGGCCAGGUAGGUCCUUUGUGAAAACUCGAGGCUCAACCUCGAGCUGUCGAUGGAAACCAUCUGGCUAGAGUCCGGAAGAGGAGAGUGGAAUUCCCGGUGUAGCGGUGAAAUGCGCAGAUAUCGGGAAGAACACCCGUGGCGAAGGCGGCUCUCUGGGACGGUACUGACGCUGAGACGCGAAAGCGUGGGGAGCGAACAGG
rnacentral:rRNA from 1 species